ACGUUUAAAUAGCGCGGCCCGCGGUAGUGACGUUCUCUUGUCAUUGGUGCCAUCUUAGGAAGGUUUAUCUUCUCAAGAUGAGAGCCAAGUGGAGGAAGAAGCGUAUGCGCAGACUGAAGCGUAAAAGGCGAAAGAUGAGGCAGAGGUCCAAGUAAACGUCUCCUCCACUGCUGCACCUGAGACUUGCCAGCUGAAGACAGCACUCCCAUGUGGAUCCAUUCAGUUUAUAACAACCUGGCCAUAAGAUCUGACGGAUGACAAGUCUGGGAAUACGUGAUAUUCACUUGUGAACGUGUGCUUCUGGAAGUCCCCUGUGUUGUCAACCUAGCAUCAAGGACUGACAUGCUAAUUAAUUCCCUCUGGGAGUUUGGACUUGAUUGUCUUCUGGUCUCAUGCAGCAGAUGUAAUAAACAUGUUUUUGUUAAAACCAAA